AAGCUGUCUCUAUGCAGUCAGCAGACUUCGGAAUGUUGGAUACCCAAUCAAUAUUUGGAUGCCAUGGAGUUACUAUGCUACUCAGCUGACCAGAGUUAAAAACAAGAUACCAAGAGACUACCUUUGGUGAGGGUGAUCUGGCCACAGUUUUUUACUCAGUUGAUCAUACAGUCUUAUUCCAGGACAACUCUGCCUGCAAUAGGCUUUGUGACCCAUCCAGCUUCCUUGGAAAUCUAUUUCAGGACAAAGGGCAAUAAAGCCAGACCAGCCUUCUGAACCAGCCUGCCUUUCAGCAUCUGUGCUACAUAGAAUCUUCAGAUAUGAAGAUUGGGAUACUUGCGGAGGUAAGUGUUGAAGGAGUUUAACUGCUUUUGUAACAAAAUGAUUAUUUACUGAAGUAUUUCUGGACGCAGCUUAAGCAUCCUUGGUCCAUAUUAAAAUAAGUGGCAAGUCUUUGAAAAGACUGUCAUUAUAUGAUGGCUGUCAUUAUAGCAAGAAGCAACGGCACUAUGGGACACAGAACAGAAGUUAGUCACCUCAGAUAUAUGAGACAGGUAGAUGUGAUUAGGAAUAAAGGUUGUCAAACUCCUAACUGAUAAAUCUCAGUUAUCCUCCUGUGUGUACCUGGGUUGCCAUGGCUGCACCUUUGCUUGGCAAGUGUGUCCAAGUACUUUUUCUCCCUAAGCUGCUUUGCCUAUUGUGCUUGUCCACAAGGCUUGAACAGAACACAGAGAGAUAGCAAACAUGUAGUCUGUGUGGGUGUAUUUGUUCUUCUGUGCAAACAUGAUUGAGUUAUCUAGAAGAAACACAGCAGGAGUUGAUUUCAGGCAAAACACAGGGUGGUACAGUAUGGGGGAGAGAAGCCGUGUGAAGGUGGGGGCGUGGUGGCAGACACCAGGGCAUGCAAGCCCUCAAUCUGGGAAAGCACAGAGCGGUGAGGCGGAGGCUACAGUAGGAGGGCAGGGGAUUUCAUCACAGGGCCUCAGGGCAUGGACUGCAUAUGAUUUCUCUAUAUAUGAUGAGACUCAGCCUCAAAGUGGAUUCCAAGUAUUGGGCAAUCUCUCUUCAACCGCCUUCCCAAAUGGUCAUUCUUUGAGUUGCUUUCAUCAUGAAGAAUCUAGUGUUGUGACCAACUUGAGAAGUAACCACUGGCCACCCUUCCCCGUAUUCACUGCUGCUGCUGCUACUGCUGCUAAGUCACUUCAGUCGUGUCCGACUCUGUGCGACCCCAUAGACGGCAGCCCACCAGGCUCCCCCAUCCCUGGGAUUCUCCAGGCAAGAACACCGGAGUGGGUUGCCACUUCGUGGCAUAUUCAUGAAAGGAAGGCAUCUCUUGGAAGUGACAGGAGACAAUGUUCCUGAAG
ensembl:lncRNA